rnacentral:lncRNA from 1 species
UUAAAAAAAAAUUGCCCUACUUAUAAAAAGGGUUAAAAUCUGUAAAAUAUACUCCUGCAAAGAAUGGCCUUGCCCAACUUGCAUGACUUGGGUAAAAUCCAAAUGAAUAUAAUUAAUAUUUAAUUUAUAUAAAAAAAUAAAAGUCUGCAAAUUUUGCCCUUAUUUACAUAAAUUUGUACUUCUAGACUACCUAGUUCAAAUAAUUACGACUUCUUGAAAGGCUAUUACAUUUUUUUUAUUUAACGCCUUGCAUUAGAGUAAAGCGUCCAAAAAAUAAUAAUAAUAGCCUUUCAAGACGUCAUAAUAAUUUGGACUACUAGACUACCCAGAAAUUAGAAAACACUGAUUUAAAAAUUUAAUAUAUACAUAAAAUUGAUAAUGGAAAUGGGGAAUGUGUCAAAGAGACAACAACCCGACCAUAAAGCAGACAACAGCAGAAGGUCACCAACAUGUCUUCAAUGCAGCAAGAAAUUCCGGAGGCGUCCAUCAGCUGGCC